rnacentral:rRNA from 1 species
AGCUUGUUGGUAGGGUAAUGGCCUACCAAGGCCGCGAUGGUUAGCUGGUCUGAGAGGAUGAUCAGCCACACUGGAACUGACACACGGUCCAGACUCCUACGGGAGGCAGCAGUGAGGAAUUUCGCGCAAUGGGGGAAACCCUGACGCAGCAACGCCGCGUGAGUGAUGAAGGCCCUUGGGUCGUAAAGCUCUGUCAAGUGGGAAGAAUAUGUUUGAUGCUAAUACCAUCUUACACUGACGGUACCACUGAAGGAAGCACCGGCUAACUCCGUGCCAGCAGCCGCGGUAAUACGGAGGGUGCAAGCGUUAUUCGGAUUUAUUGGGCGUAAAGGGCGCGUAGGCGGUCUCUUAAGUCAGAUGUGAAAGCCCGGGGCUCAACCCUGGAAGUGCAUUUGAAACUAAGGGACUUGAGUAUGGGAGAGGGAAGUGGAAUUCCUGGUGUAGCGGUGAAAUGCGUAGAUAUCAGGAGGAACACCGGUGGCGAAGGCGACUUCCUGGACCAAUACUGACGCUAAGGCGCGAAGGCGUGGGAGCAAACAGGAUUAGAUACCCUGGUAGUCCACGCAGUAAACGGUGAACACUAGGUGUAGCGGGUAUUGACCCCUGCUGUGCCGCAGCUAACGCAUUAAGUGUUCCGCCUGGGGAGUACGAUCGCAAGAUUAAAACUCAAAGGAAUUGACGGGGACCCGCACAAGCGGUGGAGCAUGUGGUUUAAUUCGACGCAACGCGAAGAACCUUACCUGGGUUUGACAUCCCGAGAAGUCUUUCGAAAGAUUGAUGUGCCCUUCGGGGAGCUCGGUGACAGGUGCUGCAUGGCUGUCGUCAGCUCGUGUCGUGAGAUGUUGGGUUAAGUCCCGCAACGAGCGCAACCCCUAUCUUUAGUUACCAGCGAGUUAAGUCGGGGACUCUAGAGAUACUGCCCCGGUCAACGGGGAGGAAGGUGGGGACGACGUCAAGUCCUCAUGGCCUUUAUGCCCAGGGCUACACACGUGCUACAAUGGGCUGUACAAAGGGUCGCGAACUCGCGAGAGUGAGCCAAUCCCAUAAAACAGCUCCAAGUUCGGAUUGGAGUCUGCAACUCGACUCCAUGAAGCUGGAAUCGCUAGUAAUCGUGGAUCAGCAUGCCACGGUGAAUACGUUCCCGGGUCUUGUACACACCGCCCGUCACACCAUGAGAGUUGGCUGUACCAGAAGUUGUUGGACUAACCUCGUUUAUCGAGGGGGUAGGCACCUAAGGUAUGGUUGAUGAUUAGGGUGAAGUCGUAACAAGGUAGCCGUUGGGGAACCAGCGGCUG